rnacentral:rRNA from 1 species
GACUAACGCUGGCGGCGUGCCUAAUACAUGCAAGUCGAACGGGAUUCUUUGAUCAGCUUGCUGAGAGAAGGAUCUAGUGGCGGACGGGUGAGUAACGCGUGGGAAUCUGCCUCUUACUGGGGGAUAACAGUGGGAAACUACUGCUAAUACCGCAUAAGAUCUUCGGAUGAAAGGUGCAACUGCACCGGUAAGAGAUGAGCCCGCGUCCCAUUAGCUAGUUGGUGAGGUAAAGGCUCACCAAGGCGACGAUGGGUAGCCGGCCUGAGAGGGUGAACGGCCACACUGGGACUGAGACACGGCCCAGACUCCUACGGGAGGCAGCAGUAGGGAAUCUUCCGCAAUGGGCGCAAGCCUGACGGAGCGACGCCGCGUGAGUGAUGAAGGCCUUCGGGUCGUAAAGCUCUGUUCUUGAGGACGAAUAAGCCAGGGAGUGGAAAGCCCUGGUGAUGACUGUACUCAAGGAGAAAGCUCCGGCUAACUACGUG